CGACUGCGCCCUUCGCCCUUCGCGGUCUGCAGAAGAGAGCUUGAGAAACUUCUGUAGUUGCUGGAGUCAACCAACGAUCCUAUAAUUACUAAAAAAGCCUUGGUCACCUUAGGAAAUAAUGCAGCCUUUUCUACUAACCAGGCCAUUAUUCGAGAAGAAUGUGCCCAGAAAAUGAGAGCUUUAGCCUGUCAUCAUGAUGCGGAUGUGAAAGAGAAGGCUUUAGCAAUAAAGCCCAAAUUCUGAUCGGUUGCUCCUAUUUUUAUCAAAGUCUCAAACAGUAAGGCAGUCUUAAGUCAGCACACAGGAGCGUUUGCCUGCCUUUAAAAGGGGUCUUUCAGCCAAUGGAGUUAAACAGUAAAACUUCUGGCCUUGGCGCAGUGCAGUCCAGCCUCACUAGGAUACACCAUUGCAAACUACUGGUGCAUAAAGGUGACAGCAUAGUCCCUGGCCUCGAAGGACUUGGAGUUUGGGGGAGGGGAUCACAGACACUUUCCAACGGAAGCUCGGCAGAUUUCGCGGGGAAGCCCUAGGUUUGGAAGUCUCCUGAGUGCUCCAGAGACAAAGCGCAAUGUUGAAGCACCCUCUAAGACAGCACCUCCAAGUGAAGGCUACCAGAUCUGAGCCUCUCACCAGAGGAAAACUGCUCACAAGAUGUGCCAAGUGCGCCUGUGGGAACUGGACCACAGAGAUGGUCUUCUGCCGUCCUUAAGGCAGACGUGUGAAGACAGUGCUGCAGCUGACCUCCAGAGUAACUUCCUAUAGUACUUCCCUCCCAUAGAAUAUCACACUGUAUUAAAGGGCGAAAUUUCACUUUUUUUUUUUUGUACUAUCCUUACCGUCUAGUCCUAUGUGUUGAAGUUUUAGUGCAACAGCAUGCUGCCCCCUUCUGUUCAUCUGUAUUACUACAUCCUGGCGUAGUGGGUUGAGGCAGAGCAG
rnacentral:lncRNA from 1 species